ACGCCGUAACUUCGGAAGAAGGUGUGCCUUGAUAAGGUGAAGUCCCUCGCGGAUGGAGCCGUAAGAGGUUGCAGAGAAUCGGUGGCUGCGACUGUUUAACAAAAACACAGCACUCUGCUAAGACGAUGAGUCGACGUAUAGGGUGUGACGCCUGCCCGGUGCCGGAAGGUUAAAUGAUGGGGUGCAAGCUCUUGAUUGAAGCCCCGGUAAACGGCGGCCGUAACGAUAACGGUCCUAAGGUAGCGAAAUUCCUUGUCGGGUAAGUUCCGACCCGCACGAAUGGCGUAACGAUGGCCACACUGUCUCCUCCUGAGACUCAGCGAAGUUGAAAUGUUUGUGAAGAUGCAAUCUCCCCGCGGCUAGACGGAAAGACCCCAUGCACCUUUACUGUAGCUUUACAUUGGACUGUGACACGGUCUGUGUAGGAUAGCUGGGAGCCUUUGAAGCAGUGCCGCUAGGUGCUGUGGAGGCGACGAUGAAAUACCAGCCUGAUAGUGUUGCGGUUCUAACCUUGGUCCCUUAUCGGGAUCGGGGACCGUGUAUGGCAGGCAGUUUGACUGGGGCGGUCUCCUCCCAAAGAGUAACGGAGGAGUGCGAAGGUACGCUAGGUACGGUCGGACAUCGUACUGAUAGUGCAAUGGCAUAAGCGUGCUUGACUGCGAGACUGACAAGUCGAGCAGGUGCGAAAGCAGGUCAUAGUGAUCCGGUGGUUCUGAAUGGAAGGGCCAUCGCUCAACGGAUAAAAGGUACGCUGGGGAUAACAGGCUGAUUCCUCCCAAGAGUUCAUAUCGACGGGGGAGUUUGGCACCUCGAUGUCGGCUCAUCACAUCCUGGGGCUGUAGCCGGUCCCAAGGGUAUGGCUGUUCGCCAUUUAAAGUGGUACGUGAGCUGGGUUCAAAACGUCGUGAGACAGUUUGGUCCCUAUCUGCCGUGGGCGUUGGAAAUUUGACGGGGCUGCUCCUAGUACGAGAGGACCGGAGUGGACGUACCGCUGGUGUACCUGUUGUCUCGCCAGAGGCAUCGCAGGGUAGCUAUGUACGGAAGAGAUAACCGCUGAAAGCAUCUAAGCGGGAAACACGCCUGAAGAUAAGAUUUCCCGGGGGUUUAACCCCCUUGAAGGGUCGUUCGAGACCAGGACGUUGAUAGGUCGGAUGUGGAAGCGUGGUAACACGUUAAGCUAACCGAUACUAAUUGCCCGUAAGGCUUGACUA
rnacentral:rRNA from 1 species